UACGAAGGGUGCAAACGUUGCUCGGAAUUAUUGGGCGUAAAGCGCACGUAGGCGGCAUUGCAAGUCGGAUGUGAAAUCCCUCGGCUCAACCAAGGAAGUGCAUCCGAAACUGCUGUGCUUGAGUACGAAAGAGGAUCGCGGAAUUCCCGGUGUAGAGGUGAAAUUCGUAGAUAUCGGGAGGAACACCAGUGGCGAAGGCGGCGAUCUGGGUCGAUACUGACGCUGAGGUGCGAAAGCCAGGGGAGCAAACGGG
rnacentral:rRNA from 1 species